rnacentral:lncRNA from 1 species
CGCCACACCAUUUCCUUAAUUCAAAGACACCCAGAUUUCUCAGCUAGCCAUGAAGCACACACACAAAACAGAUGCACACGUUAAGGUGCUUAUAUAUGUUAACACGCAUCUCCUGGAGUGAUCAUCCCUGGGGACAAGAGGAGGAAAGGGCACUGAGGGAGGAUGUUAAACUUCAGCCUCACCCACAGUGUUUUGUCUCACGUUUUUGCGAUGCAAUGUGAAUGUCUGGAAAAGCAUCACAAUUCCAAAACCACCAACACUCAGAAAAAUAUGCACCCAGCAGGGAAAAAAACAGCAACAAAUAUUGAGAUGCUUCCUACAACCGGAAUCUGUACUAAAUUGUUUUGUUUGUUCUUAAUCCUCACUACUGCUUCGGAAAAACACUGCUGGGGGCUGACAUAAUGGGUAAGGAAACUAAGGUAUAGAGAGAUCACAAUUACCAAGGUCAAACAGCUAGGAAAUGGUGACACCAGAAUUUAAACACUCUGACAUCAGUGAGUUAAGCACGAGGCCAUACUCUCGAAUGUGGAUCAGGCAGAACACUCAGGUCUGGCUAGAACCAUUAAUGACAAUAUAAUUGUCCCCUUGAAGGCCAAAAACCCCAAAAUCAAAAACUGAAAUUGGGAGGAACAAUCGGCAGGACAGGCCAGCAGUGUAGAGCAGCGGGCACACAGGCACGGCACUGGGCACAGCUCCUCGCUUAUAAGAUGGACAGGCUGUGAGCCCCAAGAGCCCUUUCUGCUGCUAAGGCUCUGAAACAGGCAAGCAGGCAGACAGGAACCCACGCAGAGAAAGCAAUGAUGCCCGCUGGGUGCCUGGGAUAUAGACAAGGAAAUUCCCUGUAGAUACAGGUAGCAGAGGAAAGGACUGAAGCAGAAGGCGACACGUACAGAAGCUGGCCCGUCCUCCGCAGAGACAAAGACUACAGGCAGUGACACGCGGGCAGAGCUUCCCCUAUGGCAAGAACCCUCUCCCACACACUGAUGCUGGACAGGUAAAAACAAUGAGAGCUUCGUUUGCUCAAAACACUGUAUUGUGGUCAUCUUAUGGGAGCAGCUCCGCCAACCCAGGAGCCGUGCCAGGUCUCAGGGACUGCCCUACCAGCACCAAAAGGGAAACCCCGGGAGAACCGGUGAAGCACCAUCUGAGAGCCUCAAAGAACCGCCCAAUCAGCUCCACUUGGUCCAGCAGAGUGGAACUUGGCCUUGCAGCCAGAGCUCAGAAUCAGUACCUGCUUUUCUGCUUAUGAACAACAAAAACCAUGCAAAAGCAACUUAGCCUUUAAGACUUGGUUUUCUCUUUAAACGAGGGUCGUAUCUACUCCAUCCAGGUGUUGUGUGGCAGAAUGACAUUUGGAAAGCACCUUUUCCUGCCCUUUCCCAACUCUGACACAAUCUCUGUGAGCGGAAGACCCUCCUCUCUAAGCAUGGAAUUUUACAAUUGCAAAUAUCGCUUACUGCACACCCAGUGUACGCAAAGCCACAUGCCACACACUUUACAUGUUACCCCAUUUAAUCUCAGCUCUGCCUCUGACUAGCUGAGCCCUGAGAAAGUUUUUAACUUUUCUGAGCCCUCAGUUUCCUCCCCAGUAGAGGUGGAAAUCAUUUUGGCCUCACAAGGCUGUUAAAAGGAUCCACUUAGUAAAACAUGCUAAGAGUUUAGCGAAGAGCCUGGCACACGGUAAGCGCUCAGAGUUUAACUACAUCUAUCGUUACUAUCAUCCUUUUUAAUCUUCUCAAAAUCCGGUAACAAGAAAAUAAUAAUCAGUCUACAAAUGGAAAAAAAUAUAUAAACGUAUUAAAAGCAGUUACUAAACGACAAAGCAGGUAUCUAAACUUCCUGAUGUGCUCAACUCCAAAGCCUAUGCUCUUGAGCAGUCCAUCAACUAAGACAGAGUCAGACCCUCAGUAAACGUUAUUGCUUCCCCAGGACACUGUUUCCUAAUACAGCCCCUACCCAACUCUAGCCCGGGUUCAAAGGAAAAUUCCUCAGCCCUCAUUUCGUCCUCCGAACGAGCUAGGAACAUGGGCAGCUGAAGCCUGAAAAGAAACAAGUCUCCAAUCUUCCCUGGUCCUGUAUUUCUUCACAAACUGAAACACGGAGGAUUUUUAAAGCGUCUUAACAACUCUCCCACUUCUAAUAUUAUUGGAAUCCCUAAGAUCAGGGCCCCAGGCUUUUUGUUCUAACCCAUCACAAUUUUCGAUACCCUGAAGGGAACCUGCCUCCCACCUUCCCCGUAAGUGAAGAGUUUAGCGCAGUGGGCCAGAUCCCUCUUCCUCCCUCAGAACCUGUUUUCUUAUCUCUAUAUUGAGAUCUGAGACUGAGUAUUAUCAGGUGCCCUGAGAUUGGGAUUGUAAAUGAUUUGAGGUUUG